rfam:Taphrina deformans PYCC 5710 genomic scaffold, scaffold00122
GGCUUAAUGGUCUAGUGGUAUGAUUCUCGCUUUGGGUGCGAGAGGUCAUGGGUUCAAUUCCCAUUUGAGCCC